UUUUCUCACAGAUCUGGAGGCUGGAAGUCCAUGAUCAGGGUGCUAGUAGGAUCCAUUUGUGGUGAGGCUUGUCCUCCUGGCUUGCAGACAGCUGCCUUCUCCCUAUGUUCUCACGUGGCAGACAGAGGGAGCACGCUCCCUGGUGUCUCUUCUUACAAGGGCACUAUCCUAUCAUGAGGGCCCCACUCCCAUGACCUUCCUAAAUCUAAUUAUUUCCUAAAGGUCUUGUCUCCACCAUCACAUUGGGGGUUAGGGCUUCAAUAUAUGAAUUUGGAGAGAGCACACUCCAGUCCAUAGCAAUGGGUAUUAGUUUCCUAUUGCUAUUGCAAUACAUUACUACAAAUGCAGAGGCUUUAAACAACACAAAUUCAUUGUCUUACAGUUCUGGGGGUUGGAAGUCUAAAAUGGGUCUCACUGAGCUAAAACCAAGUAGUCAGAAGGGUAGCAUUCUUUCCCAAAGGUUCUAGGGGAGAAUUCAUCAUCUUGUAUUUUUCAGCUUCCAGAAGCUGCCUGUGUUCCUUGGCUUAUGACCCCCUUCCAUCUUCAAAGUCAUCAAUGGCUGUUCAAGUCUUUCUCAUGCUCCCAUUUCUCUCUUCUACAUCUCUCUGCCACUAAGAAGAACCCCUGUGAUUUCACUGGACCCACCCAGAUAAUCCAGAACACUCUCCUCAUCUCAAGGAUAUGAAACUGAGUCAGAGUCAACAAACUGAGGUUGAGAAAACCUGAAGAUAGAUUCAUGAAAAUUUGUACAACUUCUGGGAAAUCUCAUGGAUUCUGAACUAUUUCCUUGAAUGGAAUGAUUGUUUUUUAAAACACCAAAGUGAUAUGAAGAUGUCUAUUAUCACGUCUCCUGAGAGGCUGGUUUCUCCGCUCAGGACAAAAGUGGCAGACGAGGCUUCUUGCACUUUCGGUUAAAUGCUGACACAGCCUGAGCAGACAUGAAGUGGGAAAACAACAGUGUGUCUACCAGGAGACUGAUUAAUGCUGCUUAUUUUGAUUUUGUUCAAUAUGAUCUGCAAUGUGUCCACGUGAAGAACACGCAGGCCCAGAGAGUCAGUGGGCCUGAUAAUGGACGACUGCUCAAAUCACCAUGAACACGGGCAUUUGAGCAUCAAAUCCGCCAGCUUCCUUCCUGGGCAAGCAUUUUCCAUGCUGCUCUCCAUGCUGCUAGGAUAAGAAAAUACGGUAACUUCAGGAUUAUUUGACAGCUUCCUAACAUUCCUCUUCCAUUGACACUGCCACCAUUCCGUUCGCUUUUCCUCAAAGUUCCUGAAAUAAUGAUCCAAACACUCUUUCCCCCCAGAUAUCUGCUUGCAUUGUAGGAUCUUGCCAUCCAAAUUAUUCUACUGACAUUACCAAACUGAAAUCAAUCCAUGCAAAUCACCAAAUUUAAUGAAAAUCCUUCAUCUUUAGUAUUAAUCUGUCUGUCGUGUUUUGCACAGUUUCUAACCCCUACUUUGUCUCCUCACAUUCCUUACUCCUCACUUCUGUUUUCCAUGCUCCCAGCACUGUUCCAAUUCUAUUCUUUACGCUUUCACUUUUUUCCUUUUCUGUUUUUCUUCUUCCUUCUGGAACAUUCCAUGCGUGGUGACUUUGCUGUUCUCAUUUUCUCUCUCUUUACAAUCUACCCUUCAUAUCUAAUCUGUGGUUUCAACAACCAUGGCCAUUUUGCUGAUUUUUUUUUUUUAAAUUCACUUUAGUGGAGCCUUUUUUUUUUUAAAGAUUUUAUUUUUUUCCU